AGAGUUUGAUCCUGGCUCAGGACGAACGCUGGCGGCAUGCCUAAUACAUGCAAGUCGAACGCGGCCAUCCGGUGCUUGCACUGGUGAAGCCGAGUGGCGAACGGGUGAGUAACACGUGAGAAACCUGCCCUGGAGUGGGGAAUAACUCGAAGAAAUUCGAGCUAAUACCGCAUACCUUCUCUUCACCGCAUGGUGAGUUGAAGAAAGAUUUAUCGCUCUAGGAGGGUCUCGCGGCCUAUCAGCUAGUUGGUGAGGUAAUGGCUCACCAAGGCAUCGACGGGUAGCUGGUCUGAGAGGACGAUCAGCCACACUGGGACUGAGACACGGCCCAGACUCCUACGGGAGGCAGCAGUAGGGAAUUUUCCACAAUGGACGAAAGUCUGAUGGAGCAAUGCCGCGUGCAGGAUGAAGGUCUUCGGAUUGUAAACUGCUUUUAUAGUUGAAGAUUAUGACGGUAAGCUAUGAAUAAGGACCGGCUAACUACGUGCCAGCAGCCGCGGUAAUACGUAGGGUCCAAGCGUUAUCCGGAUUUAUUGGGCGUAAAGAGUUGCGUAGGCGGUAGAGUAAGCAAAUAGUGAAAGGAUGUGGCUCAACCACAUGAACAUUAUUUGAACUGCUCAACUAGAGAGUGGAAGAGGUAGCUGGAAUUAUUAGUGGAGGAGUAAUAUCCGUAGAUAUUAGUAGGAACACCAAUGGCGAAGGCAGGCUACUGGUCCAUUUCUGACGCUCAGGCACGAAAGCGUAGGUAGCAAACAGGAUUAGAUACCCUGGUAGUCUACGCUGUAAACGAUGGAUACUAGCAUUCGGAGGUGUCGACCCCUUCGGUAGCGAAGCUAACGCGUUAAGUAUCCCGCCUGUGUAGUACGAGCGCAAGCUUAAAACAUAAAGGA
rnacentral:rRNA from 1 species